rnacentral:tRNA from 1 species
GUUUUUAUAGUUUAACUAAAACAUUGGUCUUGUAAACCAAAAUUAAGAUAUUUCUUUUAAAACU